rnacentral:rRNA from 1 species
GACGAACGCUGGCGGCGUGCUUAACACAUGCAAGUCGAGCGGAGCGGCGAACGGGUGAGUAACGCGUGAGUAACUGCCCCCCUCUCUGGGAUAACAGUUGGAAACGGCUGCUAAUACCGGAUAGUGGGGGAUGACUCGCGUCCUAUCAGCUUGUUGGUGGGGUAGUGGCCUACCAAGGCGACGACGGGUAGCCGGCCUGAGAGGGCGACCGGCCACAUUGGUCCGAGAUACGGACGCAAGUCAGACGUGGGGCAGCAGGGGGGAAGAUUGCACAAGGGGGGAAGACCUGAUGAAGCGACGCCGCGUGCGGGAUGACGGUCGUCGGGUUGUAAACCGCUUUCAGCCAUGACGCGGUAGUGGCAGAAGAAGCACCGGCUAACUACGUGCCAGCAGCCGCGGUAAUAC